GGGUCAGUAGGUUGGUCGUGCCACCGGUACGUACUGGUCUCACUGAUUCCUCCUUCCUGAAGAACCGUAAUGCCAUUAAUUUGGUGUUGCGGGGAAACAGGACUGUUACUUUGAAAAAAUUAGAGUGUUUAAAGCAAGCUAACGCUUGAAUACAAUAGCAUGGAAUAAUGAAAUAGGACGAUCGAUCCUAUUUUGUUGGUUUCUAGGAUUGACGUA
rnacentral:rRNA from 1 species